CUCAAGGGGCCUCUAUGUGGCAGCUCUGAGCUAUUAAGCCUCAGCCACCCUUAGGGGAACUAUGCAAUGGAGCAGGGCAGAAAGUGCCACUAACUUCAGGAAACUCUUGCUUUCUGACGGACCAUUCUGGAAGACUGGGACAUGAGGAGAGUCAGGGUUUACAUGCACAUGCAUAUCCCUGUGCCCAUGAGGAAUGUAUUGCUCCAUUUGAGCAGGUGAAUGCCUGAGUAAUGUUCAAAGUAAUGGUACCCCCAUUAUCCACUCAUAUCUGAAACCAAGAUUACAGAAUUUUUAACAUAAUUCUGCCCAUAU
rnacentral:lncRNA from 1 species